AACGAACGCUGGCGGCAGGCUUAACACAUGCAAGUCGAACGGGUGUAGCAAUACAUCAGUGGCAGACGGGUGAGUAACACGUGGGAACCUUCCUUAAGGUACGGGACAACUCAGGGAAACUUGAGCUAAUACCGUAUACGUCCGAGAGGAGAAAGAUUUAUCGCCUUUAGACGGGCCCGCGUCGGAUUAGCUAGUUGGUGGGGUAACGCCUACCAAGGCGACGAUCCGUAGCUGAUCUGAGAGGAUGAUCAGCCACACUGGGACUGAGACACGGCCCAGACUCC
rnacentral:rRNA from 1 species